UGGUGAUGAGGGAAGGUAACAAGCUGACGUCCUUAAUUAAUGGGAUCGAAUACGUCACAGAACUUAUAGACACAAACAUCCUCGUCAACACCAUGACUCUGGCUGGCAUCUCAUACAAGAGGACCAGCAAACGAAUAUGAAGAUCUACUGCACUCUUUGGAUUAAUAAAAUGUGAAUUGCA